rnacentral:rRNA from 1 species
CCUACGCGAGGCAGCAGUGAGGAAUAUUGGUCAAUGGGCGGAAGCCUGAACCAGCCAAGUAGCGUGCAGGAUGACGGCCCUACGGGUUGUAAACUGCUUUUAUACGGGAAUAACGCGCCUUACGUGUAGGGCUUUGCAUGUACCGUAUGAAUAAGGACCGGCUAAUUCCGUGCCAGCAGCCGCGGUAAUACGGAAGGUACGGGCGUUAUCCGGAUUUAUUGGGUUUAAAGGGAGCGUAGGCAGCAUGUCAAGCGUGCUGUGAAAUGUCCGGGCUCAACCCGGGCCUUGCAGCGCGAACUGGCGUGCCGGAGUCCGCGGAAAGCAGGCGGAAUUCGUCGUGUAGCGGUGAAAUGCUUAGAUAUGACGAAGAACCCCGAUUGCGAAGGCAGCUUGCUGCAGCGGAACUGACGCUGAUGCUCGAAAGCGCGGGUAUCGAACAGGAUUAGAUACCCUUGUAGUC